GAGGGUGUAGCUCAGGGGUAGAGCGCAUGCUUAGCGUGCAUGAAUUAUUGGGUUCAAUCCCCAGUACCUCCA
rnacentral:tRNA from 1 species